AAAGAAAGGGUUACCAGACAUGGAAAACGAAGAGACAAGGAAGAGUCUCUGGAGUGCAGGGUUCCCGUUGAGCAUAGUGCAGAGCUGCUUUAAGCUGACUGAGAGGCACAGAGACAGACACCCUGUUGAAUGCCUGGGUGUCAGAGGGAGCCGCUGUCCUCCUGUGCAUCGUUUUGCCUGCAAACCGUGUCACACACAAAUCUGUCCUCUCUCAUUUCCAGAAUGGUGUGAAGUGUGUAGGAGCACUCAGUCUUCAUGGUCAGAGACCAUUUUAUGGACAAGUAAAUUCACUAUCUGAGCCAUAUGGUGGGCUGUAGUCUGUUAGGACUGCACCAUAUUUCUUUGGGCAGUGACAGUUUUUAUAUCCUUUUCUUGUCAAGGAUCUUCACACACUGGCACACACAGAAGCAAUCAAUCUCACUACGAUAUCAGCAGCAGUAUACCACGUGUUUGUCUGAUUUGAUGAGGCAGGUCCCUUAAUCUACUGACUUUUAUUUAUCCACUUACCUUGCAUAUGUUGCCAUUUGUUUUUAGCUCUAACUGCUGACUUUAGAACAAGUUGCUUCUUGUGGAUGAUGAAUUCAUCAUUUUCUUACUGUAGCUUGUCCCUCAUCCAUAAUUUACAGAAGUAAAAGCAACUGCUGCACUCCAUCUUGCCAUAUAUUUUUUUUUACUGUACAUCAAAUAAAGUAGUUUUGAAUGUUUGAUAGAAGAUGUUAACUUUGAUCUCCAGAGGCUCAUUAAAACUCUACGAUACG